rnacentral:rRNA from 1 species
GACGUAAGGCGCGAGCGUUUGUCCGGAUUUAUUGGGCGUAAAGAGCUCGUAGGCGGCUUGUUGCGUCGACUGUGAAAACCUGCGGCUCAACCGUGUGGUCUGCAGUCGAUACGGGCAGGCUGGAGUUCGGUAGGGGAGACUGGAAUUCCUGGUGUAGCGGUGAAAUGCGCAGAUAUCAGGGAGGAACACCGGUGGCGAAAGGCGGGC